UAAGUCAUUGUGACACGGUAGUGUUUGUGUGUGUGUGUGUGUGUAUAUGUAUAUAUAUAUAUACAUACACACACAUAAACACUACCGUGGCACAAU